GGGUUAUGGUUACACCGCCCAUGGUGAGCAAUGUUUGUUCUUAUGAUGAUGUUAUUCACGAUAUUUCCUAAGCACCAGUUCCGUGCCUAGUGUCAUGCAGGGCUCUGCGGUGAUGGAGGUAAAUGAGCUCUCAGCUCAGUAGGAGAGACAGAUAAGACCAUGGGUGGAGCAGGCAUGGGCCUUGCCCAUCACCUCCAGAUUUCCUCUGAUUGUUUUGUGGGCACAUAGGGGAGUGUUAAGGGCAGGGGCUGUGAAGCCCGGCACCAUGGAAUUGUAGGCUGACCCUUUACUUACUAAUACUGCACUCUCGGGUGACAGAUUUAACCCCUCUGACCUUGGUUUUUCAUCUGCAAAGUGGGACCUGGCAGUAACCAUCUUCCUGGAUCUAGAGAGGAUGCAGUGAGAUCAUGCACGACCCUUUCUGGGCACAGGGUCAGCUUGCAACAGGGCAGCGAUUAUUGUUACUGGUGCACGGUGGGAACCGAGCCUCCCCAGGGUGCCAUGAAAUCCCUGAGGGCCGGGACCCAGUUUCUCCUCCUUUUUCUCUCUUUGCUCCACCUUCCUGGGUCUGCCUACUCUUUUCCACCUCCAGCCGUAUGCUCAUGCCGUUCCCUCUUCCUGAAAUAAUCUUUCUCGUUAUUUCUCCUAAAGCUCUAAUAUAGUUCUUGGAGGCUUCAGGCCCCAGCUGGGAUGCCUCACAAAGCGAAUCUGGGGUAGAUUUUCAAUAAACUCCUCACUUAUCUCCUGCUGCAGCCAAGCCCCCAGGACCCCAUCUCCUUGGAGGAGCCAAGUGGGGUGGCUGCAGCCUCUGCAAGCAAGCUGACUCCUUUGGGGCAUAAUUCACCCUUUCUCAUAGCCUCUGUCCCCCGAGGCCAAGCCUACAGGGUCCAUCUCUGCAGAUUUUCUGCCCACGAGUUCCCUGGAGCACAGAGAACACUCCCAAGAGAGAGAGUCCUUGUCACACCACUCAUGAUCUCCCAGGCUGCUUCUCUCCAGUGCUUAGCACAUGGAGAUGCAUUCAUUUUUUUGUGAGCACAUUUAUUGACUGCGUGGCUCCCAUGCCAGCCUGGACACUCUGUGAGGCCAGGCUCUGCCUCUGGUUUCCCCACUCAGUCCCCAGCACCCAGCCUAGUCCUGGUGCAUAGGAGACGCUUGCCACACAGCUGCUGUGUGGGUGGAUGGACGGAUGCAUGAAGAAUCCGUGGUGUGGAGCACAUGGGGAAGUGGCCUUUGUUCUUCCAUAUAGAACAGCAGAGGCGGGAAGACCAAGGAUCAGAAAUUCCAGAGGUGGGGAGGACGGUGGAAGUGGAUGCACCUGGGGGACCGUCUCAGAGGGGCUGGCCCACUCCUACUGCGCCAGAUCUGGAGGUGUGCUCCUGUCUGAACUCCAUCCUGCCUGCUGCCCAGCGACUCCCUGGCUUCCUCCCUGUCACAUGGGACUCCCGCACCCGGUGCUGUCCAGGGACCCCCCACACUCCACACCCUCCGGACCUCGCAGGACAUUUCCAGGUCUGGCCACAAGGUGGAGCGUGGCAGCUGCAGGACAGUGCUGGGGGCCGGGCUGCGGAGGAGCCUGGACCUGCGCCCGGUGACCUCCCCGCUCUGUGAACGUGUGGGAGUUUGUGUCUGUGCAUCCAGAGAACCAGAGGGCUGUGGUUGACUUGCCGUGCUCCCCCCAACCCCCCACUGGGAUUGCCUGGGUCUCUGGGGGAUCACUGAGAAGCUGGAUAAAGAGGGCUGGCACUGUUGCCUCGGCUCACUAAUGCCUCAUGGUUUUACAGGUGAGGAGACUGAGGCCCAGAGAAGGAAGUCACGUGCUGAGGUCACUGACUAAUCAGUGGCUGAUCUGGUCGAACCCAGAUCUCUUGAGCUGUAAGUGUCUCUGAGAUGACCUGGAUUCCCGAACCAGGUUUCCUUGAAGAGCUCCUCCUGCCCACCCCAACAAGAGGCCAGCUGGAGAGCAAGCAAACAUCGAGUGCAGCAGGAGACUAUAAGGUUAGACAACAAGAAGGACUUCCCGGCACGGGAGAGCAAUGCUUCCUUGGUUAGAGCUGCCGUUCAGUAGAAUGGGCUGCUUUGGAUUGCAGUGAGGUCUCUGGAGUUGCAAACAGCAGCAGGCCAGAGAUCAAGGUCAAGUGGAAGGAAGCUGGGAAAGGUUCAGUUCGGCUGGUGAGGGGUGGAGAGGGUGGAGGGAGGCAGGGGCUGCCGUGGUGCAGGGCUGAGGUGCCUACGUCUGAUCCUGAGGCUGAUGGUGGGAGGCGCUGUGUGUGGCAGGGUGGGACAGGGUGGGGACAGCAGGAGACACU